UUGAAAGGGAAACGAUUGAAGUCAGUCGUACCAGCGGGAAACAACCUUUCGAGUGGGGGUUUUGGAGUUUUGAAGAGUGUCAAAACCUUUGAGAUUUCAAAAUUUUCGCUCCUUUGGUGUACUUUCUCGUGGGUAGGUUAACAUCGAUUUCGAUCAUCAUAAAAGGAUUGGAGGAAUGUAGCUUCGAUCUUGUAUUGAAGUGUUAUAGCCUUUGGUAAAUGUGAUGAUUGGGAUCGAGGAUUGCAACGAAUACCCUUUUGGGCUAUCCGCCUGAUCUCUGAUACGUGGCCUUGGCAUCGAAAGCUUGCUUAUGGUAUCAAGGUAUUACGGUCAAAAGGUUAGAACGGAUUACAUUCGUUAAGGAUGUUGACGUA
rnacentral:rRNA from 1 species